GAACACAGCCCUGGAACGGAAGAUGGCAGAUGUGGGGUGGCUGUCAAGGGGGACCCUCGAAUCACGGACUCUGGGAAGCUCUCCAGGAGAAGGGACAGGCAAGCUGGAUCCUGAGGACAGCGGUGCUUAGGCAGGAGCAGAAAGGCCAUGGGCAGGAGCGCCCAGUUCAGUCCUGAACGUGAGCUUGGAGGCCUGGGCACGCCCCCUCCGGAACUUCCACUAAGGGGUCCCCUCAGCCGCCCAAGAGAGGAGAUGGCCCAGGACAAGCAGGAGAAAGGCCCCCCUACAGUCACAGGACCCCACACCCAACCCCGGCUGGGACUGGGGGAAAUAGCUACAGAAACUGUGAGCAGAAACGAGGGCGCUGGGCUCUGAGUCUUACAGGAAAAAGACUGCACCCCACAGCCAGCCCAGCACCUCAGUGCAAUGCCUGGCACACUUCAGCACCCAAGAAAAGUUUGGGGGAGCAAAACAACCAGUACACUUAUGACUGCAGACAGGGGAUCGCUGUGUGGGAAAUACGAGGGAUUUGGA